rnacentral:rRNA from 1 species
CCUACGGGAGGCAGCAGUGAGGAAUAUUGGUCAAUGGACGAGAGUCUGAACCAGCCAAGUAGCGUGAAGGAUGACUGCCCUAUGGGUUGUAAACCUCUUUUGUCGGGGAGCAAAGCGAACCACGUGUGGUUCAUUGAGAGUACCCGAAGAAAAAGCAUCGGCUAACUCCGUGCCAGCAGCCGCGGUAAUACGGAGGAUGCGAGCGUUAUCCGGAUUUAUUGGGUUUAAAGGGUGCGCAGGCGGAGGUGCAAGUCAGCGGUCAAAUUGCGGGGCUCAACCCCGUACUGCCGUUGAAACUGCAUCCCUUGAGUGCGCGAGAAGUAUGCGGAAUGCGUGGUGUAGCGGUGAAAUGCAUAGAUAUUAGGAGGAACACCAGUGGCGAAGGCGGUCUGCUGGACAGCAACUGACGCUGAGGCGCGAAAGCGUGGGGAGCAAACAGGAUUAGAUACCCCAGUAGUC